UGGGGAAUAUUGGACAAUGGGGGCAACCCUGAUCCAGCCAUGCCGCGUGUGUGAAGAAGGCCUUUUGGUUGUAAAGCACUUUAAGCGAGGAGGAGGCUACCUGUAUUAAUACUAUAGGCUAGUGGACGUUACUCGCAGAAUAAGCACCGGCUAACUCUGUGCCAGCAGCCGCGGUAAUACAGAGGGUGCGAGUGUUAAUCGGAAUUACUGGGCGUAAAGCGCGCGUAGGCGGUUUGUUAAGUCGGAUGUGAAAUCCCCGGGCUCAACCUGGGAAUUGCAUUCGAUACUGGCAAGCUAGAGUAUGGGAGAGGAAGGUAGAAUUCCAGGUGUAGCGGUGAAAUGCGUAGAGAUCUGGAGGAAUACCGAUGGCGAAGGCAGCCUUCUGGCCUAAUACUGACGCUGAGGUGCGAAAGCAUGGGGAGCAAACAGGAUUAGAUACCCAGGUAGUCCCUGAGCGGGCUGGCAAGGCGCAU
rnacentral:rRNA from 1 species